rnacentral:lncRNA from 1 species
AUAACAACGUGAAAUAUUUUUGCUUCAUUACAAUUCUAAACACUAAACAUAGUUUACAUAGUGCAAUAUCUUUGCUUCAUUACAAUCAAUUCAUUACAUUUAAAAUAAGGACUUCACACAACCUAAUUGUUCCAUCUCCCAAAUUCUCAACUUCCUCAACAAACUAGGAAUCACUUGAAUGGCUCACGGUUGCAUCGGAGGAUCAUACCACAUGAAAUACCCGCAACCAUGAGGCUGUCAAAAAAGAAUUUUGACUCAGAACAAACUUCAUAUCAAAGGAAAUCGAAUAAAAAUUACUUACUCUUGCAGUUUGACAUCCAUAGAAUCGACGACCAGAAUUCAAACAGUCCAAGAAGUUAUCAACAUAGUCGAGCGAUGACAAAACAAACAGAUUAGUUCAAGGUUCAAACAAACAGAUUUAUCAUGAUGCCUCGUAUUGCUUGUUACACAUUUGGGGCAAAAACCAUGUUGACAUUCCUUGCAUAAAACAAACAGAUAAUGCUUAUAGAUACUGCUCCUUUUCCCUUAUACAAAAAAGUACCAUCAUUGUGCACUUCCCAUAAAUGCCACAUAUUCAAGUCAAGCUUAUACAUAUAUACAUACAACGAUGAGUUCCUAAUUGUAUAAACUUGUCGAUCAUCAGGAACAAGACUUCUCUCAUGGGUCAAAAACUUGAAUGUAGAAACAAAAUAUAGUUAAAUAAUAUUCUUCACUCAGCUUGCAUGACUAUUUUUAAUUUUCAUAUUGUUAUCACAUUAAUCUUAAAAUUAUGGUCCAAGCACACAAACAUCAUUGAAGUUAAUCAACAACACAUCAAUAGUACUCAAAAUUAAAGUAUCAAUAAACAAAAAUAUCAAUGGUCUCAUCACUUAAGAAACAUUGAAGCCAAACAAAAGUAUCAAUGGCCUUCAUCAAUAUUGUGUUUCUAAGCAGCAGAUAAGAUGGCUUGGACAAUAACAACCUUCAUAAGACUUUCAACAACAUAAAGAACAGUUCAACAGUCGGAAGUAUUGAUAAAAUUUUGCGUGUAUUAGAUAAAUUUGAGUACAGAGUAUGUUCAUAGUAAUGUAAUGGUUUGGAUGUGUAUUAGUACAACUACAAAGUCAUUAUCUUAAAUUGCAAAAGUACUACUAUGAUAUACUGCAUCACAAUAAUAAAAAAAAUCAUAAGGUUUCAGUGAUAUAUAUCUAGGAAGCUCAAACAACUUUCUCAAUUCAAGCUAGAAUGUUGUAUUUACUCCCUAAAUACAACAUAGUUGCCGCAAUACUAGCAAGACUCAUAGAAAACAAACAAGCCACUUCAUCCAAUUUUGUGUAUUUUUUUUAUCGAAAAAACAAAAACAUGUCAUAAAAAUUCUCAUAAGGGUACUAUCCCCCUAUUUCAGACCAAAGAAAAAUGAAGAAUCUCCCUAAAGAACCCCAAAUAGUAAAGAGAUUUAAAGGGGUCACAUAAAACCUAGAAAUCUUCACAAAAUACAGUUAAUCUAAGAAAAUAACGAAGGGUUUACUAAAUUGAAGCCGAGAUCAAGGAGGUAGAUGCCCAUUUUUGGUCUCCGUGAGGGGAUUCAGAUUUUGCUAGGUUGCUUGCAUUUGAAAUGGAGGGAAUCCGUUUUUUUUUCCUCAUCAAAUAGGGGGAAUCGUUAUUUUUGAUCUGGAAUAUGAGCUAGGUUGUUUUGGUUAUCAUCUAGGGGGAAUCAAUUUGAUCUGGAAUAGAGGGAAUCGUUAUUCGGAUUUUUGGUCUGAAAGUUUUGGAGAGAGAUGAAAGUGUUCAGAGAAUUUUUUUUGUUUUGGAGAGGGAGAGAAAUCAAUUUUCAAAUUGGAGCCAAAAACCGGAUAGUUACAUAGGGAGUGAUACUUAAGCAAUAAUGCUCCUAAUCCAGCCCGUAUAUCACAAGAGACGAUAAUGAAAACCUCUUCAAAAAACAGAAAGAAACCAGUCACCUCAAAAAGAACACAAGUUCCACAAAGAGAGAAAAAAUAAAUUUCACAAUAAAAAAUAAUAAUUUAUUAAUACCAAAAUAAAAAAAUUUAAGGAAGAGUAUCUCCAAAAGAAGAACCUUUCGCAUUUGUUAGAUGAAGGCUAAGGAUUCUUGAUUAUACCCAAAAAAAUGUAAAGAAAGAAAAAAGUAUUCAAGGGAUCGGAA